AAUCAACGCUGGCGGCGUGCCUCAGACAUGCAAGUCGAACGCGAAAGUUCCCUUCGGGGGAUGAGUAGAGUGGCGCACGGGUGAGUAACACGUAGGUAAUCUACCUUCGGAUGGGGAAUAACAACCGGAAACGGUUGCUAAUACCGCAUAAUGCAGCGGCACCUAAUGGUGACAGUUGUUAAAGCGGGGGAUCGAAAGACCUCGCGUCUGAAGAGGAGCCUGCGGCGGAUUAGCAGUUGGUAGGGUAACGGCCUACCAAGGCUACGAUCCGUAGCCGGCCUGAGAGGGCGGUCGGCCGCACUGACACUGACAUACGGGUCAGACUCCUACGGGAGGCAGCAGUCGGGAAUUUGGGCAAUGGGCGAAAGCCUGACCCAGCAACGCCGCGUGAAGGAUGAAAUCCCUCGGGAUGUAAACUUCGCAAGAACGGGAAGAAUAAGUAGGGGACAAUACCCCCUAUGAUGACGGUACCGUUUGUAAGCUCCGGCUAACUCCGUGCCAGCAGCCGCGGUAA
rnacentral:rRNA from 1 species